AAUUAAAAAUUUCAUUCAUUCUUACAAUUAAAAACUAGCAUAACGAAUAAAAUAACCAAAUAAAGACACUUGAUGUGGCACAUGUAUCUCAUGCUAACAUAUAGAUAUCUAUUUUUAACAGUAGAAAUGAAUGAAAUUUUUAAUA
rfam:Gossypium hirsutum cultivar TM-1 chromosome 20, whole genome shotgun sequence